rnacentral:rRNA from 1 species
AACGAACGCUGGCGGCAUGCCUAACACAUGCAAGUCGAACGAUUGCCUUCGGGUGAUAGUGGCGCACGGGUGCGUAACGCGUGGGAAUCCGCCCUUAGGUUCGGAAUAACAGCUGGAAACGGCUGCUAAUACCGGAUGAUAUCGCGAGAUCAAAGAUUUAUCGCCUGAGGAUGAGCCCGCGUUGGAUUAGGUAGUUGGUGGGGUAAAGGCCUACCAAGCCGACGAUCCAUAGCUGGUCUGAGAGGAUGAUCAGCCACACUGGGACUGAGACACGGCCCAGACUCCUACGGGAGGCAGCAGUGGGGAAUAUUGGACAAUGGGCGCAAGCCUGAUCCAGCAAUGCCGCGUGAGUGAUGGAGGCCCUAGGGUUGUAAAGCUCUUUUACCCGGGAAGAUAAUGACUGUACCGGGAGAAUAAGCCCCGGCUAACUCCGUG